rnacentral:rRNA from 1 species
ACGUAAUAGAUACCCGGGUAGUCCACGCCCUAAACGAUGCGAACUGGAUGUUGGGUGCAACUAGGCACUCAGUAUCGAAAGCUAACGCGUUAAGUUCGCCGCCUGGGGAGUACGGUCGCAAGACUGAAACUCAAAGGAAUUGACGGGGGCCCGCACAAGCGGUGGAGUAUGUGGUUUAAAUUCGAUGCAACGCGCAGAACCUUACCUGGCCUUGACAUCCACGGAACUUUCCAGAGAUGGAUUGGUGCCUUCGGGAACCGUGAGACAGGUGCUGCAUGGCUGUCGUCAGCUCGUGUCGUGAGAUGUUGGGUUAAGUCCCGCAACGAGCGCAACCCUUGUCCUUAGUUGCCAGCACGUAAUGGUGGGAACUCUAAGGAGACCGCCGGUGACAACCGGAGGAAGGUGGGAUGACGUCAAGUCAUCAUGGCUCUUACGGCCAGGGCUACACACGGUACUACAAUGUGGGGACAGAGGGCUGCAAUCCGCACGGGUGAGCC